CAGUGUCACUGCCAGGCCACUCUCCGCCUUGUGGAGACAAGAGGGGCUAGAACACGCACCCUUCUGUUCAUGCUCACAAGAGCCUCAGCCAGGUGACGCCUCCUCCUGGUGGCCUACCAUGGCCACCAGACUCCUCAGCUGUCUGACCCUUUGUCUCCUGGGAGUAGAUGCUGGGGUCACCCAGACACCGAGGCAUGAGGUGACAAAGACAGGACAAGCAGUAACUCUGAGAUGUGAGCCAAUUCCUGGCCACACUGCCCUUUUCUGGUACAGACAGACCUCCAUGCAGGGACUGCAGUUCCUGAUUUACUUCCGCAGUCAAGAACCUAUCGAUAAGACAGGGAUGCCCAAGGACCGAUUCUCAGCUGAGAUGCCCAGUGGGUCACUCUCCACCCUGAAGAUCCAGCCUGCAGAACCCGGGGACUCCGCCGUGUACCUGUGCGCCAGCAGUGUGGGCACAGCGCUGCAGAGCCACGCCCUCCCUGUGCAGAAACCCCAGCUUCCCCUCUGGCUCCAGCCCCCGCCGUCCCCAGCAGUCUUUGCGGUUGCCUCCCCUAUCAGCACAACGAUGUGGGCUUGGUGA